rnacentral:rRNA from 1 species
AAGGAAUAUUGGACAAUGGGCGCAAGCCUGAUCCAGCCAUUCCGCGUGUAGGAUGACGGCCCUCUGGGUUGUAAACUACUUUUAUUUGGGAAGAAACCCUGGGAUUUAUCCCGGGCUGACGGUACCAAAAGAAUAAGCACCGGCUAAUUCCGUGCCAGCAGCCGCGGUAAUACGGAAGGUGCAAGCGUUAUCCGGAAUCACUGGGUUUAAAGGGUGCGUAGGCGGUUGCGUAAGUCAGAAGUGAAAGCUCACAGCUUAACUGUGGAAUUGCUUUUGAUACUGCGUGACUAGAAUCAGGUUGAGGUUGGCGGAAUGUGACAUGUAGCGGUGAAAUGCAUAGAUAUGUCAUAGAACACCAAUUGCGAAGGCAGCUGACUGGACCUGCAUUGACGCUGAGGCACGAAAGCGUGGGGAGCGAAC